GACGUAGGGCGCGAGCGUUGUCCGGAUUUAUUGGGCGUAAAGAGCUCGUAGGCGGCUUGUCGCGUCGUUCGUGAAAACCUGUGGCUCAACUACAGGCUUGCGGUCGAUACGGGCAGGCUGGAGUUCGGUAGGGGAGACUGGAAUUCCUGGUGUAGCGGUGAAAUGCGUAGAUAUCUGGAGGAACACCGGUGGCGAAGGCGGCAUCCUGGACCGGCAUUGACGCUGAGGCGCGAAAGCCAGGGGAGCAAACGGG
rnacentral:rRNA from 1 species